CAGGACGAACGCUGGCGGCGUGCCUAACACAUGCAAGUCGAGCGGGGACAUAAGGAACAGAGACUCGGUCAAAGGGAAUUAUGUCUAGCGGCGGACGGGUGAGUAACGCGUGAGCAAUCUGUCCCAUACAGGGGGAUAACACUUGGAAACAGGUGCUAAUACCGCAUAAGACCACGCCUCGGCAUCGAGGAGGGGUAAAAGGAGCGAUCCGGUGUGGGGUGAGUUCGCGUCCGAUUAGCUAGUUGGCGAGGUAACGGCCCACCAAGGCGACGAUCGGUAGCCGACCUGAGAGGGUGAUCGGCCACAUUGGAACUGAGAGACGGUCCAAACUCCUACGGGAGGCAGCAGUGGGGAAUAUUGGGCAAUGGGCGAAAGCCCUGACCCAGCAACGCCGCGUGAGGGAAGAAGGUUUUCGGAUUGUAAACCUCUGUCCUUGGUGACGAAGGAAGUGACGGUAGCCAAGGAGGAAGCCCCGGCUAACUACGUGCCAGCCGCAGC
rnacentral:rRNA from 1 species